rnacentral:misc_RNA from 1 species
CUGGAUUUUACUGGGAAUUAAUCUGCCCUAAUCAUAAGUAUAGGAUAUCUUCAUUAGUUCUAUGUCAUAAUCACAAUAACCUUGUUGAUGUUCAUGGGAUGUGUGAGAGUUGCCUAUUCUCGUUUGCCACAGUAAAUAAGUCGAAUGCUGAAACCUACCGAUUGCUGGUUGGAAAAUUGGGGGCAGAGCCUUACCUAACUGAUGAGGAUCCUUUACUCGAGGAGAAAACAAAGAGUUCGUCAGGAGUAAGAAAAUGUUAUUGUUGUAAAGAGGAAUUUGUUACCGGAGGAUAUGCUAAAAAAUUGUUCAAGAUUACAUCUUCAUGUACUGACACAGUUGAACUAGAUGCACCUUUGUCUGUGACUAAUGGACAAGAGAGGGGUGACCCCAAG